AUUGGCCCUAGAGGCAUUGUAGGUGUGACACAGUUGCAUCAGUGUUGUGUCACAUUGCAUCAGUAGGUGCAGAGAGGUUAUGGCUACAUCCAGUGUUCUGACCUGUGAACAGCUGAAUGAUUAGUAGCUUAACAUU